GGUUUCUCUGUGCAACCCUGGCUGUCCUGGAACUCACUCUGUAGACCAGGCUGGCCUAGAACUCAGAGAUCCACCUGCUUCUGCCUCCCCAGUGCUGGGAUUAAAGGCAUGCGCUACCACAGCCUG
ensembl:miRNA